rfam:Calypte anna contig12467, whole genome shotgun sequence.
UGUUUUUUAUCCAUUAUUAGAGGCUGAAAAAACAAUAUUUUCCAAUAGUGUUCUAUACAGUGAUAUAUCUGUGCUUGAUGCCACUAUUCUUCACAAAAUGUGAUAAUAAUGUUAUCUGUUAACAUAAAAACAAAGUUUGACUCCACAGAAGCCGCUAGAUCUGGAUAACCACAAUAUACUUGAAUCUCUUAGGAGCUCACUCUUUGACAUGUACUACUAAAAGUUCCUCAUAUUUAGGAAUUCUUUUAAGCAAAAUACUUGUGCUGAGUCUCAGCUGGUGUGCAUAAAGGAAUAUUCAUUUCUCAGUGGUAACAUGAAAUUUUAUUUUUUUACCUAUUUUUUUAUAUAUUGAAUGGAUUGAAACACUUUGAAG